ACUUAUAGAUGGACCCGCGCCGUAUUAGCUAGUUGGUAAGGUAACGGCUUACCAAGGCGACGAUACGUAGCCGACCUGAGAGGGUGAUCGGCCACACUGGAACUGAGACACGGUCCAGACUCCUACGGGAGGCAGCAGUAGGGAAUCUUCCGCAAUGGGCGAAAGCCUGACGGAGCAACGCCGCGUGAGUGAUGAAGGGUUUCGGCUCGUAAAACUCUGUUAUUAGGGAAGAACAAACGUGUAAGUAACUGUGCACGUCUUGACGGUACCUAAUCAGAAAGCCACGGCUAACUACGUGCCAGCAGCCGCGGUAAUACGUAGGUGGCAAGCGUUAUCCGGAAUUAUUGGGCGUAAAGCGCGCGUAGGCGGUUUCUUAAGUCUGAUGUGAAAGCCCACGGCUCAACCGUGGAGGGUCAUUGGAAACUGGGAAACUUGAGUGCAGAAGAGGAAAGUGGAAUUCCAUGUGUAGCGGUGAAAUGCGCAGAGAUAUGGAGGAACACCAGUGGCGAAGGCGACUUUCUGGUCUGUAACUGACGCUGAUGUGCGAAAGCGUGGGGAUCAAACAGGAUUAGAUACCCUGGUAGUCCACGCCGUAAACGAUGAGUGCUAAGUGUUAGGGGGUUUCCGCCCCUUAGUGCUGCAGCUAA
rnacentral:rRNA from 1 species